rnacentral:rRNA from 1 species
UACAGAGGAGGCAAGCGUUGUUCGGAAUCACUGGGCUUAAAGCGCGUGUAGGUGGUCUAGCAAGUACUUUGUGAAAUGCCUGGGCUCAACCUGGGACAUGCUUGGUAUACUGCUGGACUUGAGGCGGAUAGGGGUGCUUGGAACUCUAGGUGGAGCGGUGAAAUGCGUAGAUAUCUAGGGGAACGCCAGAGGCGAAAGCGGAGCACUGGGUCCGACCUGACACUGAGACGCGAAAGCGUAGGGAGCAAACGGG